rnacentral:snoRNA from 1 species
GAUUGCAUUAUGGGCUAUAUCAUGAUAUGACUAAAUAUCGGAUUUUUAUUCGAUAUUUAGUCAUAUCAUGAUAUAGCCCAUAAUGCAAUCA